rnacentral:lncRNA from 1 species
CCAUGACUUCUCUUUCUAAUUGUUAAAGUCAGAAAUACAUGCAUUUACAUAUAUUACAUGAAUUGUUUGAACAGUAGAAGUUUAUCACUAACCAAUGAGUAUGCAACAUAGAAGGCAACUUGCAUCCUCUCUUAUAUUUUAAAAACAAAUAUUCAUAAAAAGGCUAAAACUGGAAUAUUUGGAAAAAUGGAAGCCCUGAAAAAGUAUUAUCAUUAAGGAACAAUUAGCCAAAUUAUUACAAAGUAGCUACUUUUAUUACUUCCUGGUUCACUUUUCAUUUUUUUUAAUUUUUUUUUAUCAGCACUGGUUCACUUUUCAUAACUUCCCAACAAAAUACUGCUCUGGAUUUUCACCAAAAAACAGGUAGUCUAGGCAGAAAAAUUCCUGCAAAAAAACCAGAGAGAACAUAAAAAGUAUACUGGCCCAAAGAAGGUCAAUGGUUAAAAGCUUCCCUUAAAAAUCCAAGCACUAAGCAGCAACCAGUUACCAACCCAACUAGUUUCAUGAUUCUUUCCAAAUAUCCUCUUUAGAUUAAUAAUUUAAAUUCUCAAAAAUAAAAGUAAACUAAAGGUUGUCAAAUUGAAGACACUAAGGAAUAUGUGGGGGGGGAGUAGACUUGAGUCACUUGACUUUCUACUAUUGGUAUAAUGUUGUCAAGCUUGACUCAUAGGAAGGAGACUAUCUUCAAAAACUAAUAUUUCAUGUGUUUCAGUGCCUAAACUGCUAAAUGUAAACAGUAUAUAUCCAUAAUACUCAGCAUUACAAGUGCUCAUAAAGCAAACCAGUAAUUACUAUCACACCUAUUUUACAAAUAUAUCUAAUCUUUCCACCUAAUUCCAACAGUAUCCUUCAUAGUUUUAACUUUACAAAGUAGGGACUGUGGUCUUGCCUAAUUGGCCUGGGUGUGACCCUAAACUAGCAGUUGGCAAACAUUUUCAUCAUCAACAAGACAGCAAAGCAUUAAUAAAAACCACAGAAUAUAAUAGAAACAAUCAAAAUGCAAACAAAACGUAAAACCAGAACAUCAAGUUACAGAACAAUUAUUAAUUACAGAGCUCUGUAGACGGAAAAGAGAAUCAAGGAAUUCACAUAGUAAAUAUGCUGUGCAUGCAUUAUGGAACAUGGGCUCUGCAUCUAGGUGGAAACUUCGCCAUCAUAUAAAAGCUCGUAAUCUUCAUCUUUGAUUGUCAACAUUUAUCUUCCCAAUGCCCCCUUAACUUUUGUGAUAAACCAUAUGAAAGGUUUUAUAUCAAAUAUGCCCCUUUAAACUAUGGAAAAUGCAAUAGUGCACCCUCUCUUGUGCAAAAUUUUCAAUGAUCAUACUCUAGAUUACAUGGCAAUGAAGGACUGCAGCUGUAAUGAAGGUGGAGUAGUACACUAAGUGUUGACAGCAAUCCCUUUGACAGCUAUGCAACUGUAAUGAAGGUGGAGUAGUACACUCACCCAAUAUCUAUUUAAUUUCUUUCAUAAUCACCUUUUUCACUUUAUUUAAAUUGUGUCUAUAAAUGUUUAUAAAGACAAAUUUUAAAGUUAUCUUCAGUGGAAAUACAUUUAUAUAAUGCAGAUAAAUUUCAUAUUGACAUGAUGAGAUAAAUUCAUAUAGGUUGUUAAAGCAUUUUCUGAUGUAUCCUUGGUUCCUUGGAAGUUAAGAAACAAGUGGAAAAAAUUGUCUUAAGAUCAUGAAGCAUAUGUAUUUUAGGGUUUCAUACAUUUUUAGAGAGGGAAAUAGUUGAGCUGAUAAACUUGUUGUACAUGGUAUUACUCUUUAGGAUUUAGUUUAGUGGGAUGAUUUCCCGUUUUUUGUUAAGUGUCACUCUUUUAGAGAUAGUUUUGGUCUGUCAAACUAUAGAACUUUUAAGUUUUAGUGGGUUUGGUUUGAUUUAGUCCCCACUCUCUUCUGCUUCUUUAAUUUUGGUGUGCUGCAAAUUAUUGAUAAAAGCUAGAGCGCCAAGUUGGAUGGGAUUAAAGUUUUGUAUAGUGAUGCCCCUUCCACAUCUACUUUUAUUUGAAAAAAAAAAAAAGUCCCCAAAAAAUUUAAAUUAUUUUUAGGCUCUAAAAUAUAUUUGAGGACCAAACGACAGGUUAACUUUUUCAGAGACUGAUGUGCUUCAGCCAACCCUCUCAAUUCAAUUCCAAUAGCAGCCUGUUUUGUUCCUUUUCCAUAGAGUAAAAGUCUACUGAAUGUGGUCACUAAAAGGAGAUUACCUUC